rnacentral:rRNA from 1 species
AUGUCAGCGCUUGAGAUUCUUCAGUUUGUUAUGAAUGUAGAUUGCUAUCCAAAUGUAUCUCUUGCCUAUCGGACCCUCUCAACAGUUCUUGUGUCUAUAGCCUCAGCUGAAAGAAGUUUCUUUAAGCUGAAACUAUUGGAAAAUUAUUUGAGGUCAACUAUGUUGCAAGACAGAUUGAGUGACUGCUGCAUUGAGAAGGAUAUCUUGGACAAUGUUGAUCUUGAUUGUGCCAUUAAUGCCUUGCAUCAAGAAAUGCCCGAAGAAACUUUUUCUGAAGCACCGAAGUAUUAUUGUUGUCAAUGA